rnacentral:rRNA from 1 species
GCUACACUAAACACACCCAACCUCCUGUGAUUUUGGAAAGCUUAGCAAGGUUGUGCCUGCUUAGCACUUAGAUGGAAGACCACCAUAGAAAGCCAGGGAUCU